CGACCCCAGGUCAGGCGGGAUCACCCGCUGAGUUUAAGCAUAUCAA
rnacentral:rRNA from 1 species